CCUACGGGUGGCAGCAGUGAGGAAUAUUGGUCAAUGGGCGCGAGCCUGAACCAGCCAAGUAGCGUGAAGGAUGACUGCCCUACGGGUUGUAAACCUCUUUUAUACGGGGAUAACGUGAGCCACGUGUGCCUUUUUGUAUGUAUCUUACGAAUAAGGAUCGGCUAACUCCGUGCCAGCAGCCGCGGUAAUACGGAGGAUCCGAGCGUUAUCCGGAUUUAUUGGGUUUAAAGGGAGCGUAGAUGGGUUGUUAAGUCAGGUGUGAAAGUUUGCGGCUCAACCGUAAAAUUGCAGUUGAAACUGGCAGCCUUGAGUACAGUAGAGGUAGGCGGAAUUCGUGGUGUAGCGGUGAAAUGCAUAGAUAUCACGAGGAACUCCGAUUGCGAAGGCAGCCUACCAAACUGCGACUGACAUUGAGGCUCGAAAGUGUGGGUAUCAAACAGGAUUAGAUACCCUGGUAGUC
rnacentral:rRNA from 1 species